rnacentral:lncRNA from 1 species
GAUACCAAAUGAUACUGGAAUUAUCAAGAAGAAAAGAAAACACACUCAAAACAGUCCACAAAUCUGAAGAUUCAAGGACCGUUUAGAGACCACACUCGGAUUCAACAAUAACAACAACAAUGACGAGAUAAAAGGUGUGUUUUAACACCGAAACAGCCAAUCAAAAGUAAGAUUAACAACAACAAUAUGAAGACAAGAUGAACAACAACAAGGAUAUAACAAUGACAACAAGUCACGGGUUACAAUACUAGAACAAGAACACAAACGAUUAGAAAAAAGUAAUGAUAGAAAGAUAGACAAAUGGAGAUGUAAUAUUAACAACCCAAGAGCUUAUUC